rnacentral:rRNA from 1 species
UACGUAGGGUGCAAGCGUUAAUCGGAAUUACUGGGCGUAAAGCGUGCGCAGGCGGCUUUGCAAGACAGAUGUCGAAAUCCCGGGCUUAACCUGGGAACUGCAUUUGUGACUGCACGGCUGGAGUGCGGCAGAGGGGGAUGGAAUUCCGCGUGUAGCAGUGAAAUGCGUAGAUAUGCGGAGGAACACCGAUGGCGAAGGCAGCCCCCUGGGCCAACACUGACGCUCAUGCACGGAAAGCGUGGGGAGCAAACAGG